UUUUUUUUUUUUUUUUUUUUUUUUGCUUUUUUCAAUUUACUUUAAAACUGUUUGAUUUUAUAUUGGACUAACUUUUUAAAAGAAAUUGAAGAGUAGUUUUUCAUACUGUGACCAGAUUUUUUCACUUACAAAAUUACAACUUUUUAAACAAAAGGUUUUCACUGUUCGACAGUGAAAGAGGCGGCGAGAGAAAAGGGGCACGAUUUGAUAGUGGCUGAUAAAUUAAUGCAUUAGAGAAAUAUGGCGUCCUCACGUUAUUAAUGAUGAUGCUAUUGCCCUCGAAAAGGCAAAAGGCAAAUGAACCACUUGAGAGAAACAACAAAAGUUGGAAAACGUAAAAGGCCUUGGGGAGACCACAAUCCUGUAUAAUAAUUCAUGUCACGGAUCUGUUGACCCUGAUACCCCAAAUCUGACGAAUCCUCAUAGUCAUUAUAUUUUAUUAUUCAUAUAUUUUUGUUUAAUUUUUAUAAUACUUAAUUCUUCCUUCAUUUUCUUUUAAUUCAUGGACAAAAAAACGGUAUAUGUCAGAAUACCAUUUUCCUUCUCACAACAUUCCUGAUUUUCACAGCAGCAGAAAAACAAAUAAAAUAGUCGUAAGCAGUGAGCGCAGAAGCGCUAAGGAGUUCCCCCACAAAACUCGCUAAUUUUGGUUUGACCACAAAAUUAGAAACGCUAUAUACAUAUACGCCUACUGAUCAGCAAAAAUUACAGGUGGUGGAUCAUUGUUGCUACCGAAUGUUAUAAUAUUUGAUCUUACAUUACUGUUACAGACCUUGGUUUAUCUUUCAAAUAUCCAAACACGUGCGGGACAAACAUUGGAGACGUGUGGGUUUCCUAUAAACUUCUUCUUAGCACCUUCUUUUGUUAAUGCAUCCGUCGUCACUUGCUCUGUUCCCUGAAGAAUGAAGAUGUGCCUGAGCGUCGGUUUCCCAAGUUUUGCAUUAGCUGCCUACGUUCAUUAAUAAUUUUUGUAUGAUUAUUUGUAUUAUCUCAGUUGAGUCUGUGGCUAUUUUCAGAGGUGUAAGAUUUUGUUGAGCCAUAAUUUUAAGUUCUUGCAUGAGAGCUAUUAGUUUAGCCUAUUUGUUAGUCGUGUUUACUUUUAAACUGGAUAACAAUUGAAUUUGUACGCGGUUUUAAGAAUACGUGGAUUGAUUCAACACAAGUAAUCAAGAAUGUUAGAUAAACGAAUUAAAGAUGAGAUAGAUAACCAAACUAGUUUUGACUUUGAGUCCGGGUUCGGAUUUUAGCUCAACAAUAGUUUUGCCCUCGACUGGAUCCCUCGAUUCGAAGCCAAAUACAUAUGAAGAACUAUGAUUAAAAUAAGAACCUUUCAAUAGCUAGAAAGCAGAGAAGUUAUUUUUGUAUUGCUUUGAUAUGCGUAUUACAAUGUGUAUUGAAUGAAUAAGCUUUCCCUUUAUAUAGUAGGAGAGUUUCAUCUCUAGUACAACUCUAAAAAAGGUAAAAACAUCCUCAUUUCUUGUCAAUUACUGAUAUGCUACCGACGUCGGACGAGAUUCGCGCUGUGAUAUCUAGUUGGGUGUGGAUAUCACGGCUUUCUGUUAGUCAUGUGCAACUGUGCGUAGUGCUUUUCGAGGUUUAGGAGUUCGCUUUAGGUCCAGGGAGUGUUGUGUUGGCGAACACUCCGUUCGGCCCCUGGUACGAGAAGUCCCCGGCUUCGAUUUUGAUCCCAGGCAGUCAUGUCUUCGCUUCAUUUGACCCACUGGGAAAUCGGGGUAUAUGUUACCCCCUGUUUUACCCGUAUAUAGAUAGUCCCCUCAUUUUCCAGAGAGUAGGUUUGCCGAAACGAUGGAAGACGAUAGAUGAACCCUGGUUCCUUCCUUUGCACGUUUCAUCCGAUAUGGCGGAUAAGCCGAAACGUCCCAUCAGUCGCGUCGUUUUGACUUCGGACACGUGUCGGUCAACGGAUGGUCGCCUUCGAAUACGAAACGUCGCGAAUUUCCCCCUAUAAAAGCUUCGCCCCCUUCACUUCCUUCACUUUAUGAUCCUAGUUUUUACCUUCGAACUCUACAAAGGCUUUCGUCUUUCUUGAAUCUUCAUACCUUAUUUCCUGAACCUUCAUAUCUUCAUCUUCAACCUCCAACCUUCAUACAUUUUCUUGGAUUUUCAACCCAGAACCUCAUAUCUUCACUUUCAAACUUCAAAUCUUCAUACACUCUCUCCAAAUCUUCAUAUAUUUUCCAGAUUUACAAUGGCCAAGACAUCUAAAUCAGUUCCACAGCAGGCUGCCUCUUUAUCUACUCACCCGGCCACAGGUACUGAGGCAACUGUCCCCGAAGUGGUUGUUCUCAAUACGGCUGCUCCCGAAGUGGAUGCCGCCGAAGAGGCCCCUAAGCCCCCCAUGAAAAGUUUUAUUCCCCGGGGUUGUUCAAUCACAGACGACUUCAAAGUCGAGAAGGCUUCAUCUAAACAAGACCGAGGUGAAGGGGCGUCGAGAUAUAUAUGCUCUGUCACCGAAGAUACCCUUCCCAUUGUUCGAGAGGACUGUAACUGGGGAGGUAAGGACGUGGUAGUCCCCAGGCCUGAGGAUGAUAUCACCAGUCAUGUGGAUGGGUAUUUAAGUGUUUACACUUAUCCCUUCACACUGGGCGCCUGGUAGACCCAAUUGUUUUGGCCUUUUGCAAGAGACACGAGGUGUGUCUUGGGAAAAUCCACCCGUCUUUGUGGAGGAUCGUGAUUCUCCUUCGUUAAUUUGUUAAUAACACAGAGUCUCAUCGGUUCACCCUCGACCACCUGCUCCGCCUAUAUAAUUCUCGAAUUUUUCGAGGGGGGCUAAUAAAGCUCACUCGCCGGGCCAUCAAGGCCCCUAUUCGAGCAUCGACGAAAAUCAAGACCGAGUCUGGCAGGGGCGCUUUGUUCAGGUGAAGAGUGAAGAUUUGAUCCCUUCUGAGUUUCUGCCAUUCCCUAAGAAGUGGAAUGCAUCUCGUAAGUGUAAUCUUUCCUUAAGCGUCGAGUCUUCUUUGUUCCAUUUCUCACCAUCAGUGUUUGUGAUUGUGCAGCUGCUACUUGGGUUCCUAAUGCGGUCUCCCGGCUCAAGGAGUGGAUCGAGGACAUCUCCAAACAAAUAUUGUAUUUUGAGUGCUCGUGGUGCAAGCUUUCGAAGGGCCGAUGGGAGGCCCGUUCUCAUGGUAGGACACUUCUUAGAAUAGUUAUUUUUACUCCCCAAACUUAUAUAACGCUGACCCCUUCUUUUUCCUUCGCAGGUUUGCCUAAGACCACCGAACUUAGGUCGCUGAUGUGUGGCUAUAAUUCAUGGUUUAGCACACUAUUCGCCUUGCAUUUUGUACGCUUUAAUGAUAAAUUACACUUUAUUUACUCGUAAUGAAGUCCAUUUUAUGUGUAGGUGAAUUGAAGAUGAAAGUAGAGCAAAAAAGAUACUUAAAAGUCGAAAGCGUACUGGGGAGCAGUUGAAAAUGAGAAGCUGGCGAAGCCAGGCCUACACCAGGCAUUAUACCUGGCGUCGCCAAGCUUGUAGCUGGCGAGAUACCUGGCGAGGCGGGCAGAAGGCGAGAUUGACCGGGCCUUAUACCUGGCGACGCCAGGCCUGGGGUGAGGUCUACCAGGCAUUAGGCCUCGUGAGGCCAGUUCUGGGCGUGCACAGUCUGAGUUUUGAAGACUUAUUUCGUCUCCGGGUUUGACUAGGACUUUGCCUACACGUUUAGGUCUUUUCCUACACAUAAAUAGACCUAAAACGCCACUUUUGAGGACUUUUGCAACCGGAGUCAAGAAUAGCUUAUGGAAUCACCUAUUGGGAGUUAGAAUCAUCGAUUUCUACAUCCUUUCAUCUUUACUUUGUAAUUUAAUUAUGCAAAAUAUUUGGAAUAUUGUUACUCUGAGUAUGAGUAGCUAAAUUCCUAGUCUAAGGUUUUGAUGGAACCUAUUAAAUGAUGAUUUUCUUGUUACGUUAAUAUAAAUUUGCCGUAGUAUUUUCUCUAUUUGUUCAACUACAUUAUUCAUGUGGUUGAUUGAAGGGCCCUCAAUUAGCUGUGCCUAUUUAGUAUGUAUUACUCGGGAGAGAGUGCAUAUUUAGGUAGUUGUUGAACAACAUCACUCCUAACGUAUAUGAGGGAUCAAUACGAAGGGUUUAAAGGUGGGAUUAGGGAUAACAAAAUCUUGGUGCGAUCUGAGUGAGCCGUACUUAAUGCCAGCUAGCGUAAUUCUGCAAAAUAUGUCUAGUAAAUUGUGGUAAUUACUUGGGAGAGAGUUACGACAGCCAUAGUACUCAUGAUCGAUAGAGAAGAAUUAGGCGAAUCUAUAGAAAACAUAGCGUACAAGAUUCCGACAAUAGGGGAAAUCACAACCUUAGAUCAUUCCAAUUCUUGUUUACAAACCGUUCAUAGUUAGUUAUUUAUUAUUGCAUUUUCAUUACGUAAUAUUUAGUUAAUAAACUUCCAAAUUGUUAUUGAAAUAUUUCUGAAGAUUGAUUGCAUGAAUUUGUGAGAGUCUAGCAGUUGUGGUUGAUAGGUUAAUUCCCUAUGGGAUUCGAUUCCGGACUUAUUAGCCGGAAUAUAUUUGCGACGAUCGCAUAGUCCUUUUUAUAAGGCAUAGUCGAGCAUGAUCAAAUUUUGGCGUCAUUGCCGGGGAAUUAACGGUGUUAUUAAUUGCAGCUAAAAGAAGUGCUAGAAUUCUUAGUGUAGUCAAUUUUCUUCAUUCUAAAUCAAAUACAUUGAAAUUCUAACGUUUGUAGUCUUGGGUGUUACAAGUGCAUGCCUAGGAACUCCUCAAGAACUGGUGAACUGCUCGAAGCAUUAUCAGAUCCUGAGAAAGUUUUCAAGGCACUAAAUUGUGCAAACAAGAAAAACAAACAGCAAUAAAACAUGACAGAACAAAUCUAACCAGAUAUGAAUGACGGAAUAGAAAAUCCAAUGAACAACAGAAACAAUGCGAAUGAACCAAACAAUCAGGGUGAGGUGCCUCCUGUACCAGAAGCAGCAUUAUAUAUUAUUGGGCACAACCCACCGCCGACAAUCUGGCAACCGCAAUUGCAAUCCCUCAACUAUAAGCGGGAUCAUUUCAAAUCACAAACAACAUGCUACAUUUGUUGCAGAACAUGGGACUCUUCUCAGGGUCACAUAUUGAAGAUCCUCAGCAGCAUCUGAAGAAUUUCCUGUCGAUAUGUGUCACGCAAAGGCAACCUAAUGUGACACCGGACGCAAUAAAGCCGUUAUUGUUCCCAUUCUCGGUGAUAAGAGAAGCUCAGACCUGGAUUAAUUCACUCCCCAUAAACUCCAUCACUACUUGGGAGGAAUUAGUCAAGCAAUUUUUGAACAAAUUCUUCCCACCCAAUAAAACUGCCCAACAAAUUAAUGAUAUAUUGAGCUACAGGCAGAGACCAACAGAAUCACUACAAGAAAUGUGGGAUAGGUUCAAGGGUAUGCUGGUUAAGUGUCCACAUCAUGGCAUUCCAUAUCAGAUGUUGGGGCAGAGAUUCUACUUGGAACUGGCUGACGGCUUAAAGGCUAAUGUUGAUGCUUCAGCAGGUGGAGCAUUUUUGAGUAAAACAUUCAGAGAAUGCAAGAUCCUACUUGAUAAGAUGGCUUAAAACUCAAGAUGGAUGACAAGAGCCUCUAUGAUCACUCCGGUAGUUCACUCAGUGACUUUGGACCCAAACAACUCCAUAGCUGAGAAUAUGGCCACUCUAAUGACACAAAUACGUAUCCUCACCAAGAAGAUUGAUAAAUCAGGCCAGAAGUAGCAGGUUCACAUAGUUGACGCAACUAAUGGGGGCUCAUGUACACCAUGCAUUAACCAACCAUAUGUUUGUUCGUGGAGUGCGGAAGGUGACAACCAACACUAUCAAGGAGAUAUGAAUUAUGUAGCCAACUAUGGGGGACAGAGGCAAGGUGGUCAGAAUUGGGGUCAACAGAAUCAACAAUAUAGACCAGCGCAGCAGCAGUACAAUAACAACAACAAUCCUAGAACUAUGCGACCAUUGGGUCAAGUUAUGCCUUACCAAAGGCAACAGGGUUACAACCAGCAAAAUCAGCAGCUGACUUAUCAACAACCUCAAUAACAACAGAUUAUGAGACAAGAUGAUGGUUUUACUGAACUUAAGGGAAUGCUGGACAGCAACAACAGAAUGCUGCAACAACUGAUUGGGUCCACGGGAAAAAUGCAUCAGAGAGUAGACUCACAUGAAUCAGCGAUAAAGGGUAUUGAGAUUCAAUUAGGACAGAUUUUUAUGGCUCUAAACAAUCGUCCCCAAGGGACGUUACCUGCAGACACACAAAUCAAUCCAAAAGAACAGGGCCUAAAACAGCUUAUGGCAGUGAGUCUACGAAAUGGUAGAGACCUAGAUCUGGAGCAAGAGAUGGCUCGCGAAAGCCGACCUACUGAUACACUUGUGCCAGUACCCAUUGAGAUAGAUGAUUCAACAGGGUUGACAGAGGUGAAGGUACAAUACGCGCCAGCUGAAUCAAGCAAAGAAAAAGAAGUCCCGAAGGAAAAUGAGUCAGUGCAAGAGAAGGCAGUAGAAACAGUGCCAGAGCUGGUUCAAAAUCAAAUCACAGGAAAAAAGUGGCAUCCAUCACCCUUCCCCCAGAGAUUGGACAAAUAUCAAAAAUAUGAGCAGUAUAAGAAAUUCUUGGAGAUGUUGAAACAAAUUCAGGUUAACAUUCCAUUGAUUGACGCCUUAAAGGAAAUGCUUGGUUAUGCAAAAAUGAUGAAGGACUUGAUGUCUCGUAAGUUCGAAUUUCAAGACUUGGCCACGGUUACACUGACUCAGACAUGUAGUGUUGUUGUGACGAGACCUAUAGCUGAGAAGUUAUCUGAUCCAGGGAGUUUCAUAAUCCCACGCACAAUAGGCAACUAUGCAUUUGCUAAGGCACUUUGUGAUUUGGGGCAAGCAUAAACUUGAUGCCCUUGGUAUCUAUAAAAGGUUAGGCAUUGGAAGAGCUAGACCCAUGUCCAUGUUACUACAGCUGGCCAACCGGACAGUGAAGAGGCCCUCUGGUAUCCUUGAUGAUGUAUUAGUACAGGUUGGGAAGUUUGUGUUCCCAGCAGAUUUUGUCAUUCUAGACUGCCGGAUUGAUGAGGAGAUUCCUAUAAUUUUGGGAAGACCAUUCUUGGCCACUGGGAGAGCUUUAAUCGAUUGUGAGACUGGAGAGCUCAAAAUGAGACUAAAUGAUGAAGAAAUAACAUUCAACGUGUAGAAAUCUAUGCGGCGACCAAGUGAAUUUGCUAACUGCUCUCUAAUAGAAGCCGUGGAUGUAAUUUUGGAGGAGGAAGAUGAAACCUUGAAUGCUAAAGACCCUCUACCAGCUUGUCUCUUGAACAUAGAUAAAGUAAAUGGAGAGGAGGUGACGAAAUGGGUGCUGGCUCUUAAAGGCCAAGGGUUUAGGAAAAGAGAGCUCGAAUAUGAGCCUUUGCACUUAGAAGAAUGAAAAAUUCCUCCAGCUAAGCCAUCGAUAGAAGAGCCACCAAAGUUGGAGCUGAAGCUGCUACCACCUCACCUUAGGUAUGCUUUCUUGGGACCUAACUCAACUUUACCUGUUAUUAUCUCAUCUGGUUUGUUAGAUGUGCAGAAACAAUAGCUUUUGCAGGUAUUGAGUGAGUGCAAAACUAUAAUUGGUUGGACCAUCGCAGACAUUAAGAGUAUCAGCCCGACCUUCUGUAUGCAUAAGAUUCUACUGGAAGAUGGCCACAAACCUUCCAGAGAACAUCAAAGGAGGCCGAACCCCAACAUGAAGGAAGUUGUGAAAAAAGAGGUGAUAAAGUGGUUAGAUGCGGGAAUCAUUUUCCCCAUCUCCGACAGCAACUGGAUCAGCCCAGUCCAAUAUAUGCCUAAGAAUGGUGGGAUGCAUGUAGUGCAAAACGAGAACAAUGAGUUGAUAUCAACAAGAACAGUCACGGGAUGGCGAAUUUGUAUGGACUACAGAAGAUUGAACAAGGCCACCCGAAAAGACCAUUUCCCCUUGCCAUUCAUUGAUCAAAUACUAGAUAGAUUGGCGGGGAAGUCCCGCAUUUGCUUUCUAGAUGGAUACUCAGGGUAUAAUCAAAUCUCCAUUGCCCCGGAAGAUAGAGAGAAAAUAUCAUUCACCUGUCUAUAUGGCGUCUACGCCUUUCGGAGGAUGUCGUUCGGCCUAUGCAAUGCACCCGCCACAUUUCAAAGGUACAUGAUGGCCAUCUUCACUGAUAUGGUUGAGGACAUCAUGGAGGUAUUUAUGGAUGAUUUCUCGGUGGUGGGAGACUCAUUCAAUGAUUGCCUAAGGAAUUUGAAAAGAGUGCUGAAAAGAUGUGUCGAGACGAAUCUGGUACUCAACUAGGGAAAGUGCCAUUUCAUGAUACAUGAAGGUAUAGUCUUGGGGCACCUAGUGUCGAGUAAGGGCAUUGAGGUAGAUCGUGCCAAGGUUGAUGUGAUCGAAAAGCUUCCACUACCCGCGUCCGUUAAAGCAAUAAAAAGUUUCCUAGGCCAGGCCGACUUCUAUAGAAGAUUUAUAAAAGAUUUUUCCAAAAUUGCUAACCCCUUGUGUAAAUUUCCUGAAAAAGAUCACCCUUUUGUGUUUUUUGAUGAUUGCAGGGUAGCUUUUGAGGAAUUGAAGAAGAGGCUGGUGAUAGUACCCAUCAUGGUUGCACCUGAUUGGGAGCAACCAUUUGAGCUAAUGUGUGACGUAAGUGACUAUGCUAUGGGAGCACUACUUGGACAACGCAAAGAUAAAGUCAUGCAUCCAAUAUAAUAUGCUAGUAGAACUUUGAGUGGUGCCCAACUAAAUUACACGUUGACUGAGAAAGAGAUGCUAGCAGUGUUGUUCGCAUUUGACAAAUUUAGGUCAUACCUGAUAGGCUCUAAGGUAAUUGUUUAUACUGACCAUAAUGCUCUCAGGUACUUAAUUGAUAAGAAGGAUUCAAAGCCGCGCCUGAUUCGAUGGGUGCUACUACUGCAAUAAUUUGACUUGGAAAUCCGUGACCGAAAGGGAACAGAGAACCAAAUGGCUGAUCACUUGUCCAGGCUGGAAGGAGCCGAGAAGAAGGUUGACGUGGAAGAGAUUGUGGAGACCUUCCCGGAUGAAAAACUACUAGCCACGAGUCUUGAGGUAGCGCCAAGGUAUGCAGACAUUGAAAACUACCUAGCAAGCGGUAUUGUCCCCUAUGACCUUUCUUCUAUUCAAAAGAAAAAGUUCUUUCGCGACUGUCGCAUGUAUUAUUGGGAUGAGCCUUAUCUGUUCAGAAUUUGUGUUAAUAACAUGAUCCGGAGGUGUAUCCCCGAGAUAGACUAAUCUUCUAUUUUGCAGGCGUGUCACGCGUCACGCGUCACUAUAUGGUGGCCAUUUCGGGGGAGUAAGGACAGCUGCGAAAGUCUUGGAUUCGAGCUUCUACUGGCCGACAUUGUUCAAAGAUGCACACUUAUGGGUGAAAGUUUGUAAUGAAUGCCAAUGAAUCGGGAAUAUUUCCCGCCGACAUGAGAUGCCUAUGAACCCAAUUCAGGAGGUAGAAGUAUUUGAUGUAUGGGGAAUCUAUUUCAUGGGGCCUUUCAUCAACUCAUAUGGCAACAAGUACAUACUCGUAGCUGUGGACUACGUGUCCAAAUGGGUAGAGGCUGCAGUGCUCCCUACAAAUGAUGCAAAUGGGGUAAUUGGUUUCUUGAGAAAGAAUAUAUUCACCCGAUUUGGCACUCCAAGGGUAAUAAUCAGUGACGGAGGCACUCACUUCUGUAAUCGAGACUUCGCAAAGUUGUUAGAAAAGUAUGAUGUACGCCACAAGUUCGCCACCCCAUACCAUCCACAAAUGAGUGGGCAAGUGGAAGUUUCGAACAGAGAGUUAAAAAGCGUUUUUAACAAAGACUGUGAAUGCUACAAGAACGGAUUGGGCGAGAAAGCUAGAUGAUGCACUCUGGGCCUAUCGUACCACUUUUAAAACUCCGAUUGGCAUGUCGCCAUAUAAAUUAGUGUUUGGGAAGGCGUGUCACUUACCAGUGGAGUUGGAGCAUAGAGCUUUGUGGCAUUGAGGCAGCUUAAUCUUGAUAUAGAAGUUGCAGGUACAAGUAGAGUCACAGAGUUGCACGAGCUUGAUGAGUUUUGCUACCAUGCUUUUGAGAGCACAAGAUUAUACAAGGAGAGAAUAAAAAUGAUGCAUGAUAAAAAUAUUCUUGAGCAGAGUUUUAAACCCGGAUAUAUGGUAUUGCAAUACAAUUCAAGAUUGAGGUUAUUUUCGGGUAAAUUAAAGUCAAGAUAGUUAGGACCAUUUAGUAUGGUAGAGAUUCACACGACCGGAACCGUAGAGAUUGCUGCAGCAAAUGCCUCUCGCACGUUUAGAGUCAAUGGGCACAGGUUAAAACAUUAUUUGGGCAUGAAAGAUGCGAAAGUAGUGUCGAUGACUCAUUUUCUCGAGCCAACAAGGUUAAGCGAGCCUUAAGUGCAAUUAUCCGCAUCGUGCCGCGACGUUAAAUCAGGUGCCUCAUGGGAGGCAACCCAUUGUAAUGUUCUAAUGUUGUAUUCGUCGUGCCACGACAUUAACUGAGGCGCUCGUUGGGAGGCAACCCAAUUUGUAGUUUAUUUUUAGUGUAGUUAGAAUUUUUCUUUUCAUUUUUAGGUACUUACAAGUUUGCAGGUGAUUUUGGGUGAGACGAGCAGAGCUUUAAGCGUCACAUAUUGGAAACUAGGAAACGUAGCUUGCAUUGCGAGGGGUAAGGCCAGGUAGAGCUGGCGUUUGAGCUCGCGCCACUAGAGGUGAAGCCAGGUGAACCAGGCUCUAAGGCUCGCGUCGCCAGAGGUGAGGCCAGGUACUUCGCGUGUCAGGCUCGUGCAGCAAGCCUCCAGGCUCGUGUUUGAGCUGGCGAGGCGAGGUAUUACGCGAGGUUAUGCACCAGGAGACUCCAGGUAAGUUUUUAUUUUCGGCCACUUUUAAUUUUUCUCCCUUAUUUUAUUCGAACCUCCUCACUUACACGCCCAAAGUACUGAACAAAAUACAAAAACCCUAACCUAACUUAGACCAAACACACAACAAAAGAAAAAAAUCUCAAACACCCUUCACCCUUCACCAGGUUUGCUCUCACCACUGCACAAUACUGCACAAAUCUCCCCUUGUCUCACCAGCAAUUUUCAGGCAACUCCUUCCCCUCAAAAGCUUCUAAGGUAUGAUUCUUCUCUCUUUCCCUUGCAAUUUUGAGUUGGGUAAAGGUAUGCAAUUACACGCGAAAUUUGGUGGUUGUUCUUCAUUGUAGUAUUGUGUUUCUGUGUCCUAACCCCAAGAACCCCAUAGGAAUGGUGCUGUGAUUGUAUGAACAUGUGGUAGUACGAAACUCCCAAGCCGAUUUGGGAGGGUGAGGCAAUCCUUCAUCCCUAUAAGCACUCCCAUGGCACUAGUUGCAUGCUAAGUGUUUGCUAUAAUGCCUCAAUGGCAUUCCUUGUCCCCAUUGGAUCCCGAGUCUCCGGGAUUAAUAGACUAGUGUUGUGUAGUCAUACACCACAUUAAAAUCUUAAGUGUGGGGUGGCUCACGGGUAGCCCAUGUGUUGUUGUUUGAUUCUAACGUUAAGAAAAUACGAGGUGAAGUCUGAGUAACCUCGGAAAGUUGGGCAAGACUAUGUGUGUAAUGUGUAAUACAAUUUUAACUGAUUAAUGAUUACUUGUGUAGGAACGAAGAUGCCUCCAAGAAAAGACACAAUAAAAGGAAAGACUACUUCCACUGCUCCGGCUAAAGCAAAGGCGACCUCCGCGCCUCCUCCAAAGAAGAGAAAAUGGGGAGAAGCUACCUCCAGUCUGAGUGGAGCACAAGAUGUGGCAGCUGUAGCAGCCAUACAUCCACAACCCCAAGGCCAACGGGAGUUUGGCAUCAACAGCAUACCCCCGCAUACUAAGGAUUGGUACAGGCGCUGUAGGCCUAAACAUGUACAACCGGAAGCAGCUAUCCAUGAACGCAGCUUGAAAGCAAAGUAUCAGGCAAUUUGGAGGGGCAUCCAGGAUUUGGGGUUGAACUAUGUAUUCAAGAACACAGGGGAUAUUAAUCUCAAUCUAGUCCGGGAAUUCUAUGCAGGGUUUUAUCCACUAGAUACUGAACAGCUGGUGCCGAUUCGUGGACGAUUGAUAGAGUUUUCAUCCACGGCCAUAUAUAACUUUUUAGGUGCUCCGGAUGUUCCUGUGGAGCCAUUGAACCACUUCAUUUGUCGGCCUACAUAUAGAGAGCUAUGACACACGCUUUGUGGUGUCGAUUCUACGGCAGCAUAGGUCAGGGAUAAGAAGACAAAUCGGCACAAGAGGUUCCCCAAGAAGAAGAUGAGGGUGGAGGCUCAAGUGUGGCUUACACUGAUAAAUGCAUGGCUCCUACCGUGCAAUCAUGAUACGCUCAUUAGUCGUGAAAGGACCUGUGCGCUCUAAUUCCUCAUGACAGGUCAAAGGGUGAAUGUGGGUCAUCUGAUCCGCUACCAGAUAUCUUUAGUCAGAACGAGUAAUAAGGUCGAUCGAAUGCCAUUUGCCAAUUUUUUAACUCAGUUCUUAAGACACGAGGAGGUUGCGGAGGAGCCAGAGUUUGACCACACCAUUGAUCAGCCCCUACGACAAACAGACAUCACUAGUCUCCGGCUGAAAGAAGAGAAUGCCAUGACAUCUUUGACAGGUGACGAGCGCAAUGCUCGUGAUGAUAGUUUUAUGGCCCAUCUCUAUGGGAUGAUGGAUUUGUAGCUGAGGAUAGGGGGUCGGCCGGCUACAUCUAAGGAGAGGACCUUAUUGGAGCAGUGGUACCCGCUCAAUGCUCAUGCCCAGCAGCUGGUUGGGAUAGGUGAUGGCUACAGACUUCUCGAUGAUGAGGAUAUCAACACACCUGAGUAGUCUGAGGCCGAGCUGGAACAGUCUGAUGAUGAGGACGAUGACGAUGAUGAGGAAGAAGCACAGGAUGAAGAGUGGAGAGCCUCAGAGGAUGAGGACGCAGUUUGAUCAGGGAGUUUCCUUGCACUCUACUCAUUUUUCUUGUUUUGUAAAUUUGUUCAUGCACUGAGGACAAUGCAUGAUCUAAGUGUGGGGUGGGGACUUGUAGAAAUUACUUGUAGUUGCUUGUUUUUGUUGUUUUAGUAAGUGUCUUUUUCGUUAGAUAAUUGUUUUAGUUAUUUGUUUUAGUGAUUUGGUUUCAGUGAUUUGUUCUGUUAUUUGUUGUAGUUAGAAUAUAUAUAUAUAUAUAUAUAUAUAUAUAUAUAUAGAACAACUGGACUAUUCCCACGAUGGAUCUCCUAGACAGUUUUCUUGAGGGAAGUAAGUCGAAGGAAAAAUACCAAAAAGAUUUUCUUGUAGGUAGUGUAGUAAGUCCCCCUUGGUUUUUCUUUUGGGCACGGUUCUUUUCGAGGGUUUAUUUUUUUAGUUGAACCGGGUGUAGUUAGUUUUAAUUUUUAGGAGUAGGAACUACGGAGCUAUGCAUUUAAUUAUAGCAAUAUCUCUUAGCUUUGUUAUGCCUUGAGAAUAGUUAGUACUAUGGUUGUGACGCCUAGGCUCGGUUUUUGACUCUAGCAUAAGUACCUUAAAUCGUAGAUUCCUAAUUUUGCUUAAUUGCUUUGACUAGAGUGUCGCGAUAAAACCAAUCCUGAGUGAGUUAUGUGUCAUGUCUGUGUGAGGUUUGGUAUAUAUUCUAUACAUUGCAUUUGAUGUCUAGAACUUUCUCCAUGUGUGUGCGAAGCAAAAUAGUAGUAUUGUUCAGUCUAGGAAGUGAUAUAGGCAACUUUGUUAAGCCAAAUAUAUAAAGUUUACCCACCUAAAUGUUAUGUAUCGUAGUUAACCCCGUUGAGCCGCUAAUCCUGUUUCUUUGGUAACCACGUUACAAGCCAUACCCCUUUGUUUUAAUAGAUCAUAUAAUUGAACCUUGUCACCUUUCAUGAGCACUUAUUGUGAUGAAUUAUGAAAAAGUUAAAGUGUGGGGUGGUGGGUUGGCUUUUGAGUGGAACAAUUGAAAUAAGGAGAAAGGUGCAUUGUUUUGAGAAAAAAAAGUUAUCAAUAAAAGCCACUUGAAGCAAAAACAAAUAGUGAGAAAAAAAUGAUAAUAGUUUAUUGUAUGAAAAAUAAGUCUUGAUGAUGGUGGCUAGUGAUAUACUCGUGUGCAUUAAAGUAUAUGUAUUAAAGUGCUUAAGGGAGGUGUAGUCGCUCAUAUCCAAAUGUAUCCUACCCGACCCGAAGCCUACAUUACAACCAAUGAAUGUCCUACUUGAUAUUNNNNNNNNNNNNNNNNNNNNNNNNNNNNNNNNNNNNNNNNNNNNNNNNNNNNNNNNNNUCGUUGACCUCUAUGUUAGAGUAAGUAAGUGAAUUGUGAAUAAGGCAUGGUAUUUGUGAGUCAAAUCUUGAGGGGAGGAUGCCACACCUUUGUGCUUAAACUAUUUUAAAGAUUCUUGGUAUAAUGAGUUGAGGGAAUUGCCUAAUAGGUUGUGUCUAUAAGUGUAGUUUGAUUGCUCGAGGAUGAGCAAUGUUUAAGUGUGGGGAAUUGAUGUGCGGCUAUAAUUCAUGGUUUAGCACACUAUUCACCUUACAUUUUAUAUGAUUUAAUGAUAAAUUAUACUUUAUUUGCUCGUAAUUAAGUCCAUUUUAUGUGUAGGCGAAUUGGAGAUGAAAGUAGAGCAAAAGGGAUACUUAAAAGUUGAAAGUGUGCUCGGGAGCAAUUGAAAAGGAGAAUCUGGUGAAGACAGGCCUACACCAGGCCUUAUACCUGGCGACGCCAGGCUUGUAGCUGGUGAGAGACCUGGCGAGGCGGGGCAGAAGGCGAGAUUAACCAGGCCUUAUACCUGGCAACGCCAGGCCUGGGGCGAGGUCCACCAGAUGUUAGGCCUCGCGAGGCCAGGUCUGGGCGUGCACAAUCCGAGUUUUGAAGACUUAUUUCGUCUCUGGGUUUGACUAGGACUUUUCCUAUAUGUUUAGGUCUUUUCCUACACAUAUAAAUAAACCUAAAAACGCCACUUUUGAGGACUUUUGCAACCGGAGGCAAGAAUAGCUUGUGGAAUCACUCUUUGGGAGUUAGAAUCAUCGAUUUUUACAUCCUUUCAUCUUUACUUUGUAAUUUAAUUAUUAAAAUUAUUUUGGAUAUUGUUACUAUGAGUAUGAGUAGCUAAAUUCCUAGUAUAAGGUUUUGAUGGAACCUAUUGAAGGAUGAUUUUCUUGUUACGUUAAUAUAAAUUUGCCGUAGUAUUUUCUCUAUUUGUUCAACUAUAUUAUUUAUGUGGUUGAUUGAAGGGCCCUCAAUUAGCUGUGCCUAUUUAGUAUUUAUUACUCGGGAGAGAGUGCAAUUUAGGUAGUUAUUGAACAACAUCACUUCUAUCGUAUAUGAGAGAUCAAUACGAAGGGUUUAAAGGUGGGAUUAGAGAUAACAAAACCUUGGUGCGAUCUGAGUGAGCCGUACUUAAUGCCAGCUAGAGUAAUUCGACAGAAUAUGUCUAGUAAAUUAUGGUAAUUACUCGGGAGAGAGUUACGACAGUCAUAGUACUCAUGAUCGAUAGAGAAGAAUUAGGCGAAUCUAUAGAAAACGUAGCGUACAAGAUUCCGACAAUAGGGGAAAUCAAAACCUUAGAUCAUUCCAAUUCUUGUUUACAAACCAUUUAUAGUUAGUUAUUUAUUAUUGCAUUUUCAUUACGUAAUAUUUAGUUAAUUAACUUCCAAAUUAUUAUUGAAAUAUUUCUGAAGAUUGAUUGCAUGAAUUUGUGCGAGUCUAGCAGUUGUGGUUGAUAGGUUAAUUUCCUAUGGGAUUCGACUCCGGACUUAUUAGCCGCAAUAUAUUUGCGACGACCGCAUAGUCCUUUUUAUAAGGCAUAGUUGGGCAUGAUCAAAUUUUGGCGUUGUUGCCGGGGAAUUAACGGUGUUAUUAAUUGCAGCUAAAAGAAGUGCUAAAAUUCUUAGUGUAGUCAAUUUUCUUCAUUCUAAAUCAAAUACAUUGAAAUUCUAACGUCUGUAGCCUUGGGUGCUACAGGUGCAUGCCUAGGAACUCCUCAAGAACUGGUGUACUGCUCGAAGCGUUAUCAGAUCCUAAGAAAGUUUUCAAGGCACUAAGUCGUGCAAACAAGAAAAGCAAACAGCAACAAAACUUGACAGAACAAAUCGAACUAGACAUGGAUGACAGAAUAGAAAAUCCAAUUAACAACAGAAACAAUGCGAAUGAACCAAACAAUUAGGGUGUGGUGCCUCUUGUACCAGAAGCAGCAUUAUAUGAUUGGGCACAACCCACCGUCAACAAUCUCGCAACCGCAAUUGUAGUCCCUCAAAUACAAGCGGAAUCAUUUCAAAUCACAAACAACAUACUACAUUUGUUGCAGAACAAGGGACUAUUCUCAGGUUCACACAUUGAAGAUCCUCAGCAUCAUCUGAAGAAUUUCCUGUCGAUAUGUGUCACGCAAAGGCAACCUAACGUGACACCAAAUGCAAUAAAGUCGUUAUUAUUCCUAUUCUCGGUGACAGGAGAAGCUCAGACUUGGCUUAAUUCACUUCCCAUAAACUCCAUCACUACUUGGGAGGAAUUAGUCAAGCAAUUUUUGAACAAAUUCUACCCACCCAAAAAACCUGCCAAACAGAUUGAUGAUAUAUUGAGCUACAGGCAGAGACCAACAAAAUCACUACAAGAAAUGUGGGAUAGGUUCAAGGGUAUGCUGGUUAUGUGUCCACAUCAUGGAAUUCCAGAUCAGAUGUUGGGACAGAGAUUCUAUAUGGGACUGGCUGACGGCUUAAAGGCCAAUGUUGAUGCUUCAGCAGGUGGAGGAUUUUUGAGUAAACCAUUCGGAGAAUGCAAGAUCCUACUUGAUAAGAUGGCCCAAAACUCAGGAUGGAUGACAAGAGCCUCUAUGAUCACUCCGGUAGUUCACUCAGUGGCUUUGGACCCAAACAACUCCAUAGCUGAGAGUAUGGCCACUCUAAUGACACAAAUGAGUAUCCUCACCAAGAAGAUUGAUGAAUCAGGUCAGAAGCAGCAGGUUCACAUAGUUGACGCAACUAAUGGGGGCUUAUGUACACCAUGCAUUAACCAACCAUAUGUUUGCUCAUGGAGUGCAGAAGGUGACAACCAGCACUAUCAGGAAGAUAUACAUUAUGUAGCCAACUAUGGGGGAUAGAGGAAAGGUGGUCAGAAAUGGGGUCAAUAGAAUCAACAAUAUAGACCAGCGCAGCAGCAGUACAAUAACAACAACAACCCUAGAACUAUGCGACCACUGGGUCAAGUUGUGCCUUACCAAAGGCAACAGGGUUACAACUAGCAAAAUCAGCAGCUGACUUAUCAACAACCUCAACAACAACAGAUUAUGAGACAAGAUGAUGGUUUUACUGAACUUAAGGGAAUGAUGGACAACAACAAUAGAAUGCUGCAACAACUGAUUGGGUCCACGGGAAAAAUGCAUCAGAGAGUAGACUCACAUGAAUCAGUGAUAAAGGGUAUUGAGAUUCAAUUAGGACAGAUUUCUAUGGCUCUAAACAAUCAUCCCCAAGGGACGUUACCUGCAGACACACAAGUCAAUCCAAAAGAAUAGGGCCUAAAACAGCUUAUGGCAGUGAGUCUACGAAAUGGUAGAGAAUCUGGAGCAAGAGAUGUCUCGCGAAAGCCGACCUACUGAUACACUUGUGCCAGUACCCAUUGAGAUAGAUGAUUCAACAGGGUUGACAGAGGUGACGGUACAACAUGCGCCAGCUAAAUCAAGCAAAGAAAAAGAGGUCUCGAAGGAAAAUGAGUCAGUGCAAGAAAAGGUAGUAGAAACAGUGCCAGAGCAGGUUUGGUGCCUCCGGGAUUUAGUAGCCCGAAUUGUCCGAACAUUUUUUGGACGACAGUCCCCGAGUGAGGUUAGCCCUUGGGAUCGAUAGUCCCCGAAUAGGGGUAGCCUGUGGGAUCUUAGGAUCCGAAAUUUAAGAGGCAAGAAAAUGUGUAAUAGCAAGGCAGAACUUUCUUUCAUUUUUGUGUGUAAAGUACAUGGUCGAAAAUUCGUAAAAUUUUGUGUCAUGGCUAAAAUGGACUAUGUGGGCACGGUUCACACAACUGUUUGUCCCUUACAAAUGAAUCCUAACCACCGAGCCUUGGCUUCUAGCAUACGAGGUUUUACUUUUUUCCUUGCUGAAAACCUUAAUCCGAGGGUAAUGGCUCCCAGUAUCUGAGGUCGAGCUUGAGAGGGCUCGGAUACUAUGGAUGUGAAAUGAACGCCCGUAGACUCCGAUAUGAGACCGGCCUUCGAAUCUAAGUUAGCACGUUUUACUGUUGCCUAGUUAAAAACCUUGUAGAAAAACCCAUUUUGGGACAAAAUCAGUUCAAGGAAAAAAGAGUGCAACACGUGCUUUCAGACCUAAUAGCCACAUCCAUUCUUGAGUGUUGCCUGCAAGUGUUAGUUCGAUUUAUAACAUAAUUACAGAGUAGUUGGGAUCGUACCUUAGCAUUAGUACCGUUUUAAGUGUGUCACGUUCUAAUUGUUCGGUAGUUGCACACUGUUUCUCGCCUCGAGUUUGUAUGAGCCUUUACUGGUUAUUCUGAUGACUCGAUACGAUCCUUCACAGUUCGAUCCCAGAUUUCCCUCGUUCGAGUUACGGGUGUGUAAUUUUACUUUCCUCAACAUCAGGUCCCCGAUCGUGAAGUGCCGGAGGUUGGCUCUUAGGUUGUAGUAUCUUUCUAUCUGUUGUUUUUGGGCGGUCAACAUGACUAAAGCUGCAUCACUCCUUUCAUUCAAUAAUUCUAGGCUCGUGACCAUGGCCUUUCCACUUGACUCUUCGGUUGCAUAUUGGAAUUUAAGGCUUGGCUCUCCCACCUCGACUGGUAUCAAGGCUUCGGCCCCGUAGACCAACAAAAAUGGAGUGGCCCCGGUACUGGACUUCGAGGUUGUACGAGAUGCCCAUAGGACUUCAGGCAAGAUUUAUUUCCAUUUCCCUUUGGUAUCGGUCAACCUCUUUUUUAGGUUUUGAAGUAUGGCCUUGUUUGUUGACUUUGCCUGUUCGUUCCCACUAGGGUGGUAAGGUGUUGAAAGUAUUGUAAUGACCUGGUCGUUCGUUCUGAGAGUUAUAGCCCUAUUUCCCCCAUCUAUGCUUAUUUAUGUGUUGUUCAGUUGUGUUGCAUUGUGUCGAGUUGGUAGGUUUGGGUUCGGAGUAGUUUUGGAGUGAAAUGAACACUUAGUCUCUUAGUUAGAAAGCUAAGUUAGAAAAGUCAACUGGAAGUUGACUUAUGAGUAAACAAAUUCGGAUUUAGAUUUUUAUGAUUCGAUUGGCUUCAUUGGGUGAUUUUAGACUUAGGAGUGUGUACGAAAUGUAAUUUGGAGGUCCGUGGUAGAAUUAGGCUUGAAUUGGCGAAAGUUGAAAGUUUAGAAGUUCUUAGGCUUGAAUCCGAGGUUGAUUUGGUGUUUCGGUGUUGUUUUGGGUGUUCCGAAGGUUCAACUAAGUUCGAGUAGUGAUAUAUGACUUGUUGGAAUUAUUGGUUGAGGUCUCGAGAGCCUCAGUGAGUUUCGGAUAGGUUUGGGUUGUGUUGCGCUCGUUUUUCUUAUGUUUCGACGUCGUUUCUUCAAGCAUAAAUGAUAUCAUAUUGAAUAAAUGAGCUUUGAUUUCUUUUUUUGAUUGAAGCAUUAGAUCCGUAUCGCAAUUAAGGACCCGUAGAAAAAAAAGAAUCGUUGAAUUUGGACAUCGUAUGAGGAUUUUGUGGUCAUUUUACUAAGAAUUGGGUUGCUAGAUUUUUAAAUUAAUUACGAAAUUGCCACUGACGGCGUAUUUAAAAAUCUGCACUAUUUGCAAAUAUUGAAACCAACAAUAUCUCAUUCAUUAUAAGGUCAAAUUGAGUGAUUCAAAAGUCCAACUUGAUUAGAAUUUCACAAGGUAAUCAUAUAAAAUGAGAGUUUGUUCAUUCGGUCAUAUUUUGAGUUGGGGAGCUUGGAUUUGGGCGAUUUGGGGGCGAUUUUCACCAUAUGGAUUGGGGUAAUUGUUCUCUACUCAAUUUUGGUUAUAUUUCAUGAAUCCAUCUUCGUUUUUGGGAUUUGAUUGAUGAUUUCAAAGUGAAAUUGAGGGAGUUAGGGUUUGAGUUUUGGAGAGUUUAAGUAAGGAUUUGAGGGACCAAAUAGAGUCCAAUUUUAAUUAAUUUUAUAUGGUUAGACUCGGGAGAGGAUGAGGUUUAUUAUUCUACCAUUUUGACUGAUUUCGAGACGUGGGCCCGGGGGCCAAAUUUUGGCCGGUUUCAGAUUUUUGGCAUAUUUUGUAGUUUUUAUUGUGGAAUUCGAUUCGUUAGCCUAUGUUGAUGGUAUUAAUCUGAUUAUGGUUAAAUUUGGAGCUUUUGGAGACCGAGUCUAGAGACGAGGGCAUCCUGGAGUAGGAUUUUACGCUAUUAAGGUAAGUAACAGUUUUAAAUCUGGCUUUGAGGGUAUAAACCUGGAGAAUUUGAUAUCGUGUGACUGUUUAGAGGUGAUACCCACGCUAGGUGACGGGUGUGUGGGUGUAUACCUCGAGGGAUUGCGACUUUGUCCGUCCCGUGAGGCCUCAUGGCCAUCAUCUGUGUUUACGUAGUUACUUGUUGUUGAACUUGUGUGCCUUCAUGUUAGAGAUCAUGCUUAGGCUUUAUUCAUGCUCACAUUAUUUGUACUCAGUCAUAGAAAUUACUGUACAUGUUUACCUCAGUCUCUAUUAUUUGCUAAUAUACUAUGAUACUUGAUGUGGGCUGUGUUCCCUUAUUUGUUGAUGAUGGUGAGGCUAGUGAGGUACAUGAUUGAGUGAGGCCGAGGACCUGGUUGUGAGGAUAUUAAUACCAUAGAGCGUGAGUUAUCCGCGUAGCAUGUGAGUUGACCGUGCGGAUCCAGGUAUUGAUAUGAUGGCACCUGAGUUGUCCGUGCUUAGCGCUUGGGCUUUGGAGCCCCUCCGAAGUCUGUACACACCCCCAAUGAGCGCAGAGUGUUGAGCGUUGAGUGAUGAGUGCGAGUGCUGAGUGAUGGAAUGACAUUACUGUGAGGUUGCAUUUACUUUUGUUGUUGCUGCAUUUACCUGUUAAUUUUUCUUGUAGUCUUACUGAUUUAUGAAAUUACCUGUCUACUCCUGUUUGUACUUAAUUGUGGAAAUAAUAAUUGGAUUAUUCUGCUUAGCUCGUCACUACUGCUCAGUUCCUUAGUUAUUUAAGUUUCUACUGAGNNNNNNNNNNNNNNNNNNNNNNNNNNNNNNNNNNNNNNNNNNNNNNNNNNNNNNNNNNNNNNNNNNNNNNNNNNNNNNNNNNNNNNNNNNNNNNNNNNNNNNNNNNNNNNNNNNNNNNNNNNNNNNNNNNNNCACUUUAUGUGCAGAUCCAGGUGAGUUAGAAGGCGGUGAUCGUUGAGUUCAGGCCGACUAUCUUUGGAGACUGCAAGGUAGCUGCUAGCGUCUGCAGGACCUUGUUACUCCUUUUGUCAUUUCUUCUUUUGGACAGUUAGACAGUUUAUAUAUCUUAGUUUAUAGUUUUAGACGCUCAUGACUUAGUGACACCCCGAUGCUUGGGGCUCGUUUUCGUAUUUUCUAUAAUUAUAUUUAGAUUUGAUUUAGUUUAUGAAAAAUUCAAAUGUUGGAAAUAUUUUAUUAAAUUCUUAUAAUCAAUUUAAUAGUAAUACUUUGGGAAAUAGGUUUGCCUUGUAACACAAUAGGCGCCAUCACGACCAUGGUUAGAUUUUGGGUCGUGACAAGUAUCUUUUUAAUUUUGUGAUUUUUAAAACAUUUGUUUACCUUGCUGCCGAUGAAUUGCUUCCCAUUUAUCCCAGACCUUUUUGAAUGCUUGGGCCUCGACCAUUUGGAAAAAUAGUCAGUCAUGAAUAGUACAAAUUAAGCUUUACCGCGUGUCCAUGGCAGGGGACCGACGAUGUCCAUCCCCUAUUUCAUAAAUGGUCAUGGGGACAGGACCGAGUGUAGUAGCUCCCCCGACUGAUGGAUCAUCGGUGCGUAUCUCUGGCAGCCGUCGCAUUUUCAUACAAAGUCUUUCACAUUCUUCUCCAUUUCGGUCCAAUAAUAGCCAGCCCUGAUUAAUUUCCGAACCAAAGAUUCUUCCCCCGAAUGGUCCCUGCAAGUGCCUUUGUGAACUUCUCUCAAGGCGUACUUGGUAUCUCCCAGCCCCAAGCAUCUAGCUAACGGGUCGUCGAAUGUUCUUCUGAACAAUGUCCCUUCGACCAAGCUAAAUCUGGCAGCCUUGGUACGUAGGGCUCUCGAUUCUUUACAAUCCGAGGGCAGUUUCCCAGUUUUCAAGUAGUCUAUGUACUUGUUCCUCCAAUCCCAUGUUAAACUCAUUGAGUUUACUUCGGCAUAACCUUCUUCUACCACAGACUUCAUAAGUUGUACGACUGUUCCUGAACUGAAUUCAUCAUCAUCAAUCAAUGACCCCAAGUUAGCCAGAGCAUCAGCCUCGCUAUUUAAUCUCGGGGCACGUGUUGCAGGGUCCAUUCCUUGAAUUGAUGUAGCAUUAACUGUAACUUGUCUAAAUACCUUCACAUUCAUUCCUUUUUUACUUCAAACGCCCCAUUGACUUGAUUUACCACAAGAAUGGAAUCACACUUAGCUUCGACCACCUCGGCCCCAAGGCUUUUAGCCAAUUCAAGACCUACAAUCAUGGCCUCAUACUCGGCCUCAUUGUUAGUCAAUUUCACAGUUCUAAUAGACUGUCUAACUACAUUUCUCGUAGGGGGAUUCAGCACGAUACCGAGCCUGGACCCAUUUGCGUUUGAGGCAUCGUCCGUAAAAAGGGUCCAAAUUCCCGAGGAAGUCCCCGAGGCUAACAAUAAUUCUCUUUCGAAUUCGGGCACUAAGGUCGGUGUAAAGUCGGCCACGAAGUCGGCCAAAAUUUGAGAUUUUAUGGCAGUUCAAGGUCGAUAUUCGAUACCGUACCCACUAAUUUUGACGGCCUAUUUGGCCAACAGACCCGAUAGCUUGGGCUUGUACAUGAUGUUCCUCAGUGGGUAAGAGGUUACGACACAUAUGGGGUGACAUUGAAAGUACGGUUUCAACUUUCUGGAGGCGCUUAGCAAAGCGAACGCCAAUUUUUCCAGAUGAGGAUACCUUGUUUCUGCCUCGCCAAGAGUCCUACUAACAUAGUAAAUGGGGAAUUGCGUGCCUUCCUCUUCCCGGACUAAGACUCCACUUACCGCCACCUCUGAAACCACCAAGUAAAGGUACAACUGUUUAUCCUCCUUCAAAGUAUGGAGUAGGGGGGACUCGAGAGUACUGUUUGAGUUCUUCCAAAGCUUGUUGGCAUUCUGGAUUCUAGGAAAAGUUAUUCUUCUUCUUUAAUAGUGAGAAGAAUCGAUGGCUUUUGUCCGAGGACCUCGAUAUGAAUCGGCCCAAGGCAGCUAUACGCUCGGUCAGCCUCUGAACGGCCUCGACGUUGUCCACCACGGUGAUGUCUUCUAUGGCUUUGAUUUUGUCGGGAUUGAUCUCGAUCCCUCGAUUGGAUACCAUGACCCCAAGGAAUUUUCCGGAUCCGACCCUGAAUGCGCACUUUUUUAGGUUCAGCAUCAUAUUAUAUUUCUUUAAUAUGUUGAAGGUUUUCUGCAAAUGUUUCAGAUGGUCCUCUACUCGCAUGGACUUGACUAUCAUGUCGUCAAUAUAAACUUCCAUUUAUUUUCCUAUAUGUUCUUCGAACAUAUAGUUUACUAGGCGUUAAUAGGUGGCACUGUCGUUCUUUAAUCCGAAUGGCAUUACAUUAUAACAAUAGGUGCCGAACUUAGCUAUAAAGGAAGUUUUUUCUUGAUCACCCGGGUCCAUCUGAAUUUGGUUGUACCCGGAUUAGGCAUCGAGAAAACUGAGUAUCUCGUACCCAUCCAUCGUGUCGAUCAUCCGAUUGAUGUUAGGCAAAGGAAUAGAAUCCUUAGGGCAUGCCUUGUUUAGAUCUUUAUAAUCUACACACAUUCAUAGAUUAUUUCCUUUUUUAGGUAUUACCACUACAUUGGCUAACCAGUCCGGGUACAUAACUUCCCGAAUGGAUCCUAUUUUAAGGAGUUUAGAUACCUCGUCCUUGAUAAAAGCGUGCUUGACUUCGAACUGCGGUCUCAUUUUCUGCUUAACCAGAUAGAACUUCGGGUCCAAACUCAGCUUAUGAGUGGUUACCUCGGGCAGGAUCCCUGUCAUGUCAAGAUGGGACCAAGGGAAACAAUCUAUGUUAGCUAUAAGAAAUUCAAUGAGUUUUUGCCUAAGCUCGGGAGUUAACCUCGUGCCCAGGUAUACCUUCCGGUCGGGCAGGUGUUAGAUCAAUAUGACUUGCUCCAGCUCCUCGACCGUCAAUUUAGUAGCAUUGGAAUCAUCGGGAGCAAUGAAUGACUUAGGAACUCCGUAAUCAUCCUCCAUGCGUACUCCUCGGUCUUCCUUCCUGGUCGGCUCUGUGUUCUUUGAUGUCGAGAUCACGGGCACUGGGAUCACCUCGUCGACCACGAACAUUUCUUUUGUGGCCGGUUACUCUCCAUAGAUCAUCUUAAUUCCUCCCGGCGUAGAUUACUUUAGUGCCUGGUGCAGUGUUAAGGGUACUUCCCUCAUAUUGUGAACCCAUGGCCUUCUAAAUAAGGCGUUAUACCUUAUGUCCCCUUCGAUCACGUAGAAUUUUGUAUCUUGAAUUGUCCUGGCAGUAUUCACUGGCAAGGUUAUUUCUCCCUUAGUAGUUUCGCAUGCCAUAUUAAAUCCAUUCAACACCCGGACCGCCGGUACUAUUUGAUCUUAUAACAUCAGCUCGACGACCCUCGAUCUGAUAAUGUUGGUCGAGCUUUCUGGAUCAAUCAACACACGUUUAACCCGAGAUUUGUUGAUAAGUACGGAUAUAAAAAGUGCAUAAUUAUGAGGUUAUACGAUGCCUUCAACAUCCUCGUCGCUGAACGAAUUAGUUCCCUCCGGAAUGUAAUCUUGGGUGCGCUUUUCCCUAGUAAUGGAUACUUUAGUGCACUAUAUCAUUGGUCUCUGGGGGACAUCAACCCCUCCAAUGAUCAUGUUGAUGGCGUGCUGAGGUUCUUUUUGUUCGGUGUGUUUGUUGGAGUCCCUGUUUCUGAAAUGGUUUUUGGCUCGAUCACUCAUAAAUUCUCAGAGAUGCUCGUUAUUGAAUAGCCGGGCGACCCCUUCUCUCAACUGUCGGCAGUCCUCGGUCAUGUGGCCAUGAGUGCCAUGAUAUUUACACAUCAGGUUAGGAUCCCUAUGGGUAGGGUCAGACUGUAAUGGUCGAGGCCACUUGGUUUCCUUGAUGCGCCCGAUGGCUGAUACGAUGCUGGCUGCAUUGACAUUGAAGUUAUACUCUGAUAAUCUUGAUGCUUCCCUUCCCCCGUGAGGCAUGUCAAAACCAUUUUGCCCAUCAGACCUCAGCUAUUGGGCCCUCGAUCGCCUCUCUUUUUAUUCCCUGUAGAGUUACGCCAAGACUCGUUCCCCUUCGAUCUGCAUUGUAUGGUUGGUACCGAUAUCAGACCGGCCUUGAUUCAUGAUCGACGACUCUCUUAGGCAUGUCGUCAGUUAUGAUGGGAUAAACGGACCCAGAAGGGGCUUUGAGUUGGUCGUCCUCGACUAUGAAUUUUGACUGGUACCUGUUGUGGACGUCGGCCCAAGUUACCGUCGGGUACUCUACCAAGUUUUCUUAAGCUGCUGCAAAGCCAAAGAGCUUCGGGGGUUAAGUCCCUGGGUGAAUGCCUGAAUGGCUCUAUCGUCCGUAGCAGGAGGUAAAUCCAUCUAUUCCAUUUGAAAUCUUAACACGAACUCCCUGAUCAUCUCGUUGUCCUUUUGCUUAACCUUGAAAAGAUCUGAUUUUCUGGUCUUGACCUUGAUGGCACCGACAUGAGCCUUUACAAAGGGAUCCGCGAGCAUAGGGAAUGAAUCAAUGGAAUUUGGGGGUAAGUUGUGGUACCAUAUCAUUGCUUCAUUUGACUAAGUUUCCCCAAACUUCUUUAAUAACACUGACUCGAUCUCGUCUCCUUCCAAGUCGUUACCUUUGAUGGCGUAUGUGUAGGAGGUCAUAUGCUCAUUCAGAUCUAUGGUUCCAUUCUAUUUUGGAAUAUCGGGCAUAUGAAACCUUUUCGGGAUUGGCGUUGGUGUCACUCUUGGAGUAAAGGUUUUUGGACAAAUAUUUUGGAGUUCGAGCCUUUUAAUAUCAGGGGUGCUCUUGGAAUUGGAUCGACCCGAUAAGUAUAUGUCUCCACCUUCUUAUCGUUAGCCUCAAUUUUCUUUUCACCUGACUCCACCCGUUUCGUUAAUGCUUCAAGCAUUUUUAUCACUUCGGGACUGACACCGAGCUCAGUUCCAGCCGGCCUUUCGGCUAUCUGCUCAUUUCUUUGGGUGAUUUCCCGGGAUGGUUCGGGCUCAACUCUGCUGGGGGUGCGGCUUUGAUUUUGCAGCUAUGCUAUCGCCGCCUAUUGAGGCUGCAACAUUUUGAAAAUCACUUGUAAGCCGACUCUGUUGCCUUCGCCUUCAGGCACUCCUUGAGCCGUUGGUCGGGCUCCUCCAAAAACGUUGUUCUCGGGGUCGAUAGGCAGGUUCGUGUAAUUGGCCACAUGCGAGUUAGCAUCGAUUGGAUGUGUAAUUGGAACUCUAUUGGGAUCAGCAAGGGACACCUCAUUGCUAAGUACCAGAUUGUUGUUUUCGCUAUGAUGGCCAGAUUCAGACUCGGCGUUUAAGUGAGCAAACUGAGGAUUUGAUAUUUUCAAACAGACAUGAAAUUGUGACCUUAAAGAACAAGUGUAAAAUAGAGUGUGCUAUGGAGAUUUGUAUCAAACCACCACUAUUAUCCUUAGCUCCACGGUGGGUGCCAAACUAUUUACCCUUAAAUUGGAUAAUAAUUGAAUUAAUACGUGGCUUUAAGGAUAAGUGGAUUGAUUCAACACAAGUAAUCAAGAAUGUUAGAUAAACGAAUUAAAGAUGAGAUAGAUAACCAAACCAGUUGUGACUUUGACUCCGGGCUCGGAUUUUAGCUUAACAAUAGUUUUGCCCUCAACUGAACUCUCGAUUCGAAGCCAAAUACGUAUGAAGAACUAUGAUUAAAAUAAGAACCUUUCAAUAGAUAGAAAGCAGAGAAAUAAUUUUAUAUUGCCUUGAUAUGCUUGUUACAAUGAGUAUUGAAUUAAAAAACUUCCCCUUUAUAUAGUAGGAGAAUUUCAUCCCUAAUACAACUCUAAAAAGGGUAAAACAAAUCCUCAUUGAUCAUGAAUUACUGAUAUGCUAUCGAUGUCGGGCGAUAUUCGCACCAUGAUAUUCGGUUGGAUGUGGAUAUCAUGAUUUUCUAUUAGUCGAGUGCAACCGUUCAUAGUGCUUUCCGAGGUUUAGGAGCUCGCUUUGGGUUCGGGGAUUGUUGUCUUACCAGGACCGGUGGCAAACACUCCAUUCAGCCCCUGGUACGAGAAGUCCCCGGCUUCGAUUCUGAUCCCAUACAUUCAUGUCUUCGCUUCGUUUAACCGACCGGGAAAUCGAGGUAUAUGUUACCCCCGGUUUUACCCGUAUACAAGUUGCAUAGAGUAUUCCUUCCUAGUUUCAUGUAACUAAUGAUCCAAUCUCCUUGACUAUUUUUGAUGACUCCGUCUAUUCCCCAAACCCUAGGAUUUCCUAAACAUGAUCCAUCAAUGUUAGUUUAAGGGAUUCCCUUUAAGGAGGGGUUCUAUUUCACAGAAAUUAUAAAGUUGUCCUGUUUUGCGAAGUGAUUACUGAUUGCAUGAUGAGCCACCACUGCCUUGGCAAUGGUAUUAUUCACUGAGGUUAAAUCAUGCCUGUUUUGACUAGUAGAGGACUAACAAGUUUAACCAACUUCCGAAGGACACAUUUGACUAAAUAACUCAUACAUUUAUUUUUAUAUUUUCAUAUUUCAUUUGACAAUUAUUGCAAAUUUAUAUGUGUAAAUUAAGGAUUUAGAUGAAAACAAAUAAUAUAGAUUAAUUACAACUACAGAUUGUUGAGAUGAAUAUGGUCUGUAGACAUCGAAAUUUUAGCGGAUCAAGCCCAUACAUAAUUUGGGCUAAAUCCUAAAUUCAAGACACUAAAAGACGACUCUUGAAAUUUUAGGAGUCUAUUAAGGUUACUUGGAGGCUACUCUACUAAAACCCUAACUUGGUGGAUACUCUACCCUAACCCUAGGCCACUCCUAUAAAAAGGGUUACAUAUUUUCUUAGAAAAGAAUCUCUCAAAAAUGGAGAUCAUCUCAGAAAUUUCAUAAACUCUCGGAAUAUGCACAAAACAUCAAAUACACAAUCUCUAAAAUUCCAUAAAACUCUUGGAAUAUUCAUUAAGAGAUCAAAACAUGUCAAAUAUAUCUUGCUCAAAGUUCUAGCAACAUUCAAGAUCCAAAUGGAGUGUUGCUACAUGCUUCUUGAUCAUCAAAUAUAUCAAUGAGAUGCAUAUCAUCCUACAUUUGAGAAAUACGCUGCUAAGGCCCUCGAAUUACGGAUAACAAAUCGGAGGAAAGAAUCCAGGGAUAAACAGAGUUAUAACCCUCAAUGUUUAUCAAUAAAAUUAUUUUUUCUUUAUAGUUGUUUGUGAUUGUAGUUUUAUCUUUCUGCACAAAUUUGUUGCAAACAAAUUGGCACACCCAAUAGGACCAGUUCUGCCCUUCAUAUCUUCCUCCCACAAAUCGAAAACUACAAGUUUCAAAAUCAUAUGUUGUGAUGGUCGAGUACUUCAAGUCUCGUCUUCGAGUUUUGGCAAACCUACACCCCGACAAACCUUGAAGUAGGGGGCAUUUGUAGACAUAAAAAUUUUAGCGGAUCAAGCUUAUACAAAAUCUGGACUAAAUCCUAAAUUCAAGACACUAAAAGACGACUCUUGAAAUUUUAGGAGUCUAUUAGGGUUGCUUGGUACUCUACCAAAACUCUAACUUGGUGGCUACUCUACUAUAACCCUAGGCCACUCCUAUAAAAAGGGUUACAUAUUCCCUUAGAAAAAUAUCUCUCGAAAAUGGAGAUCAUUUCAGCAAUUUCAUAAACUCUCGGAAUAUGCACAAAGAGAUCAAAUACACAAUCUCCGAAAUUUCAUAGAACUCUUGGAAUAUUCAUUAAGAUAUUAAAGACAUGUCAAAUAUGUCUUGCUCAAAGUUCUAGCAACAUUCAAGAUCCAAAUGGAGUGGUGCUACAUGAUUCUUGAUCAUCCAAUACAUCAAGGAGAUGUAUAUCAUCCUACGUUUGAGAAAUACUCCGCUAAGGCCCUCGAAUUACGGAUAACAAAUUGGAGAAAAGAAUCAAGGGAUAAACAGAGUUGUAACCCGCAAUGUUUAUCAAUAAAAUUAUUUUUUUUUAUAUUUAUUUGUGAUUGCAGUUUUAUCUUUCUGCACAAAUUUGUUGCACAAAUUAGUUCCAUUGCUGGGAUCUCCUUUUAUCUUUCUGCACAAAUUAGUUGCAAGCAAUUUGGCACGCCCAGAGGGACCAGUUCUGUCUUUUAUCUCUUCCUCCUGCAAAUCGAAAACUACAAGUUUCAAGAUUAUUUAUUGUGAUGGUCGAGUAUUUCAAGUCUCGUCUUUGAGUUUUGGCAAACUUACACCCCUACAAACCUUGAAAUAUGGGGCAUUUGUAGAAAUCAAAAUUUUAGCGGAUCAAGCCUAUACAAAAUUUGGGCUAAAUCCUAAAUUUAAAACACUAAAAGACGGCUCUUGAAAUUCUAGGAGUCUACUAGUGUUGCUUGGAGGCUACUCUACCAAAACCCUAACUUGGUGGCUACUCUACCCUAACCCUAAGCUACUCAUAUAAAAAGGGUUACAUAUUCCCUUAGAAAAGGAUCUCUCGAAAAUGGAGAUCAUCUCAGCAAUUCCAUAAACUCUCGAAAUAUGCACAAAGAGAUCAAAUACACAAUCUCCGAAAUUCCAUAAAACUCUUGGAAUAUUUAUUAAAAGAUCAAAACAUGUCGAAUAUGUCUUGCUCAAAGUUCUAGCAGCAUUCAAGAUCCAAAUGGAGUGUUGUUACAUGCUUCUUGAUCAUCAAAUACAUCAAGAGAUGCAUAUCAUCCUAUGUUUGAGAAAUACGCUGCUAAAUCCCUCGAAUUAUGGAUAAUAGAUCAGAGGGAAGAAUCAAGAGAUAAAUAGAGUUGUAACCCGUAAUGUUUAUCAAUAAAAUCAUUUUUUCUUUAUAGUUAUUUGUGAUUGCGAUUUUAUCUUUCUGCACAUUUGGUUCUGUUGUCGGGAUCUCCAUUUAUCUUUCUGCACAAAUUUGUUACACCAAAUUGGCACGCCCAGUGGAACCAGUUCUGCCCUUCAUCUCUUUCUCCCGCAAAUUAAAAACUACAAGUGUCAAAAUCAUCUGUUGUGAUGGUCGAGUACUUCAAGUCUCGUCUUCGAGUUUUGGCACAUGUACACCCCGACAAACCUUGAAGUAGGGGCAUUUGUAGACAUUAAAAUUUUAGCGGAUCAAGCCCAUACCAAAUUUGGGCUAAAUCCUAAAUGCAAGACACUAAAAGAUGACUCUUGAAAUUAGAGUCUAUUAGGGUUGCUUGAAGGCUACUCUAUCAAAACCCUAACUUGGUGGCUACUCUACCUUAACCCUAGGUCACUCAUAUUCCAUUAGAAAAGGAUCUCUAAAAAAUGGAGAUCAUCUCAGCAAUUCCAUAAAUUCUCGGAAUAUGCACAAAGAGAUCAAAUACACAAUCUUCGAAAUUCCAUAAAACUCUUGGAAUAUUCAUUAAAAGAUCAAAACAUGUCGAAUAUGUCUUGCUCAAAGUUCUAGCAGCAUUCAAGAUCCAAAUGGAGUGCUGCUACAUGCUUCUUGAUCAUCAAAUACAUCAAGAGAUGCAUAUUAUCCUACAUUUGAGAAAUACGCCGCUAAGGCCCUCGAAUUACGAUUAACAAAUCGGAGGGAAGAAUCAAGGGAUAAACAGAGUUAUAACUCGCAAUGUUUAUCCAUAAAAUCCUUUUUUCUUUUAUAGUUGUUUGUGAUUGUAGUUUUAUCUUUCUGCACAAAUUUGUUACAAACAUGGUCAUUUCAUCUUUAAUCAGAAGUAUUGGAUUUGAAUUAUGAGAAAGAAAAAAAAAACUAGAUAAAAUUCCCCGACAACCAUUUUUUAGUCCAUAUAAUGGAAAAUAGUCACUGUCACGAAGUAUCUGAAAUUUCACUUGUGAAAAUUAAAACUCAAUGACAAUGGCUGUUUCUCAAUUUAAAAGUUAAAAGGUGGCCAGCCGCACUAUUACUACGAAAAAUUCUUAGUAGGUAAAGCGCCCUCUUAGUAAGCCUUAUGUCGUGCACAUCCAAAUUUAUUGGGUCCAUGCAAAUAAUGAACACCUAAUAACUAGGGGCAUAUUUAGGUUAAGGGAUAUGUGCUCACGUGAACUUAUGCUCCUCUCCAUAAAUCAUGUAUAACUAUAUUAUGUAUCUUCAAAAUACUUAAAUAUAUGUGCAUGCACUUAAUUUUAAAGACUCAUGUAGUGCAAUAAUUAUUGGGUGCACAUCUACAAGUAAAAUUGGUGAUUUAAAUCACAUUCCGAACGGUCUUAUUUUUAAUACGGAGUAUAGAUAUAUACGUGGGAAUUCAAAAAUAAUAAAUUUUGAAUCUUUAUUUUUAGAAGUAUAAUGGGUUUAUGGUAAAAGUUUAAAGUUAAACCUGUCAAAUGUAGAACUAGAUUUACCUCUUCACAAUAAUGCACUCAUUCUCUUGAAAUCCUGAAUCCGCAUUUGCGAGUCACAAACUAAAAUAAAUGAUUACUAGAAUAUGUUAAACAAAUACUUUACUAAUAAUUAAAAUUACUAAAAAUCCUUUUUCAGAUGUGUAUAAAAAUUUUCAACAACAAAAAUAAUAUAGACCAUGUAAUAGUAGCUCUUUUUAAAAGGAUAGAAGAUGCUUGGCAACGCCAAUCCAUAAAUUUUUGUCAUGACGCAAACUACCACAAGCCUUUUCCUCUACUUUUUGAAGGAAUCUCUGUUUCUUUCUCAUUCAUACAUCCCAAUUGCUAGAUGACAAAAAGAGUUCCUUGUGACCCAACCAACUGCAAUUGCCACUAAAAUAACUUCUUGGGCUGUUGGCCACGUCAUUUUUCUUACUCAAAAUUAGGCAAAUAUCGGUAAGCCUUGAUGGCUGAUUUCAUGCCUUAGUUUCUCUCCAUUUUCCUUAUCCCACAAUCACCACACUACAAUAUUCCACGUAACAAUGAAACCCCUCCACCCUUCUCCUACCCAACCCAGAAAAAGGGAAUAAUAAUAGAAAGACACAAAAAUAUCUUGAGAAUGUCAUAAGUUCUAAAGUUUACUAGCAAAAUAGUUAAGUGCAAGUUUACCAAAAGAUUUCCUCGUAUGAAGGAGAGGAAGAACCCGCUCUAAAAAAUAUUAGUCACAAUUCGAACUAAAUUUAGUCUGCCGUGUAUUAUUUUUCCUUGAUUUGCAUUAGUACAAAAGUUUAUGAGUGAUAUUUAUUUUCUUAAGUUUUUUGCUUAACAUCAUUGGCAAAUUAAUCAAUUGACGCGUUUCCUGGUCGUAGGCAAGUUCUUCCUUCAAAAGUUCUUUAGAACAUAUUCAUAUUUUUAUAAGAAAGUUCUCCCAAAAUCACUCGCAUCAAAGGGGGAAUUAUGCCAAUUAUUUUUGAAUAUGAACAUACAAGAAGAAGAAAAAGAAGAAGCAACAUCACUGAGUGAAGUGGAAAUAAAUUUCCAUUAAGAAAGAAUAUGAAUCACAGUUACAGUUGCUUUUUCUCACUUGAAUUAGUAAUCAAUAAAAGCUUAAAACUUGCUAUUUCUCCCUAAUCGCCAAAUACAAAGUCUGAUCUCUUUAAAAUACGUACUACAGCCCUUCAGACCAUUCUGAUAACACCUGCUUCUUCUCUCUUGAAUGAAGAGCUCAAAUGCCCAAAAGGGUCAUACAAAAUAAGGCAUAAAAUUCCUUUCUUCUACAAUUGUUUAGUGUAAUUGAAAUAGAAAAUCUCU
rnacentral:lncRNA from 1 species